rnacentral:snoRNA from 1 species
CCCCUCUCAGGAUGGCACCUGGAGAGUUUCCAGUCCUCUACCAGUUCUCGGCUACUGGAGGAGAGUCAAGCAGAGACCUACCCAUUCUAUUCCUAGCUUGGCCAGUGGCUAGUGAAUGGAAGGCCAUCUGCUACAAGU